rnacentral:lncRNA from 1 species
GGUGUGAUCUGGAUCCUGAUCCUUGGUUGAAAUAUUCAGUGAAUGAAGGUCUGAGGGUCUUCCACUGUUUGGACAGGAAGGUAUUGGUAUGUAAGCCCGGAACUCAGGGUAGUUAGUGUAAUUCAUGGUUCUGUGGUGAGUGGGACUCUGAAAUUUGGGGGAGGAAAGGGAAUACGAUGCAAAUGCCCACCACGCCCCUCUCACUCCUGUGGAAGACUGAUGAUAUAAGGUGUUUCAGGGUAGUCUGGAGACUCUGAGGGCAAAGGGGUAACAUCCCAGGUCAGGAAGAAUAGAGUGGCCAUAUCUUCCCUACGUUUUCAGAUCUUUAGAUAAACUAAAGCACAGCCCAGGUCCCUCCUGUGAGUGGAGAUGGGAGCACUAGGUGAAACUCUAGAACUGGAAGGGAGAAUUUGCUCUCUGCCAGAGAAGAUGAGCUGCCCAUCUCAGCAGCUGUCCAGCAGAAGCCAGACAUCUCUUUGGGAAGGGAAGAAGGAGCUUGGCUGAAAUGGCCUUUAAGUUUCUUAUGCCUUAGCUGGGUGAGAUGUUAUGGAGCUAGGACCAUGUCUGAACUGCUUCCUCCCUUUCUGCAGAGCACAAAGCCAAGCAGCUUGUAAUUGGUUGGUGCAGGUUGAAGCCCCCGCUCUCCCACUGUCUCCCCAUGACGCAGGCCAAGAUGCUGCCUCUAGUCAUACCUCUAGGGCUCACCCAAGCUGGUCAUCACCAUAUAGCCCAGAGAGAGUAGCUUCUUUGCCAUAGAGCCCAUGCCCCCCCAAGACCUCUGAUGAGACCGGUCAUAAUUUAGACCUACUGGCCAGGAGGGCCCUUGGUGACAGCCAGGAAUCAGGAAUCAGUAAAGGCCAAGCAGGACCCAGAACACGGGUUUUGCUUGCCAUACACAUUAAUUCCAGAGGUGAAUUCUAACUCCUCCUCCUCCCCAAUCGAGGCCUGUUAGAGCAGAUUGAAAACACAAAAGCACAGCGACUCAGUGGACACGUGAUUAUAAGCGCCCCCCAGUGCAUCCAUUUCAUUGCCAGGUAGAUCCUGAAAUAGCCCAGGCUAAUCCAGUCUAACCCAUUAUUGGCAAUCAAACUUGAAAGCACUUUUCUUCCUUUUCAUUCCACCCUACAUCUUACCAGCUAAUGAAAGGCAGAGUCAGGGCUUCUACCAUUGCCUUGGCUACUGAACACCAUCACAGCCCUAGAAGGGCCAUUGCGGGGGUCCCAUCAACUGCAAGGAGACUGACAUGUUCACAUCCAUGGGGCAUAUGAUACUGCAUGAAUGCCAAGUCUCCACACUGUUUGCAGCCUCCUCUGUGAAUCCCAAUGGCCUGCACUUGUACAGUUUGGGUGUUUGAUAGAUAAAGCACGUAUGAGAAGAGAAAACAAAAUAAAUCAACUUUUUUAAAAAGCCAGCACUGUGCUGUCAAUGUUCAUUUUUUUUUUCCUUUCCAAUUCUAGUUUAAAAAAAGCCGGAGGUAAAUAAUGUCAGGUCAAUGAAUAUCAGAUAUAUUUUUUGACUGUACAUUACAGUGAAGUGUAAUCUUUUUACACCUGCAAGUCCAUCUUAUUUAUUCUUGUAAAUGUUCCCUGACAAUGUUUGUAAUAUGGCUGUGUUGAAAACCUAUACAAUAAAGCUGUGACCCUGAGAUUCAUGUUUUCC